GAGAGAGAAAAAGAGAGAGAGAGUUAUUGAGUGCACCUAGUGCACAGGUGCGCAUGGAUGAUUGUUUUCUUUAUGGGUUUAUAGAAGACGAGAGAAGGGUAUAAGAGAUUCAGAAAGAGGGCUCGGAUUGUAGCUACUCUGUGCAGAAGAGGAGUCAGGUGUAAUCUUCUCUUAUUUAAUUGAAUCUUAUUUUACCCGCAUAUUUUUCUCUUUUAUGAUUGUAUCAGCUUUUGCUGAGGAAACGGGUUUAUGGUAAAAAUUCGAUUUGAUGCUUCCGUUGCGGAAUCCCAACAAUCGAUAUCGGAUCCACAGCAGUCGGUAUUGGAGCGGGUUGCGGAUUCACGAGAUCCGGUACCGGGGCGAAUACCGGAUUCCCAACAAUUGGUAUCAGAGCCGAAGGUUACCGAUCUGUGGGAGAGAUCGACGGAGAUGGCCACAAAAUUCGAAAUCGAGAAGUUCAACGGCAAGAACAAUUUCGGAUUGUGGCAGACUAAAGUACAGGCAAUCCUCGUACAGCAAGAGUUAGACGAGACGUUGAACAGGGAGGAGGCGAAGCCGGCGGAGGUCACGGAUGCGGCAUGGACGAAGAUGGAGUGGAAGGCGUUGAGUACGCUUCAUCUAUUAUUAGCAGAUGAGGUUCUUUACAACGUAGCCAGCGAGACAACGCCGGCGAAGUUGUGGAAGAAAUUGGAAGAUCUGUACAUGACCAAGUUCUUGACGAACAGAUUGUAUCUGAAGCAGCGACUGUUUACGCUGCGGAUGCAAGAAGCGGCGAACCUACACGAGCAUCUAAACGAGUUCAACAAGGUGGUGGCACAGUUGACUAGCAUCGGAGUCAAUCUGGAUGACGAAGACAAGGCGUUGAUCCUACUAUCUUCGCUACCGAUGACAUAUGAGCAUCUGGUGACCACAUUGCUUUAUGGCAAGGAGUCCAUAAGCGUGGAGGCGGUCACGGCGGCGCUUCUCUCGAACGAGAUGCGGAAGAUGACUCAGGAGUCCGGCACGCAAAGUUAGGAUGUAGAACUGGUGGUGACUGCGAAGAAGGAGGCGAGAAUAUCGGCGACUGGAUAUAAACAGAAGAAACAGCUAUCUGAGGUAGAACGCUUUUACUGUCAUAGGAAGGGGCAUAUCAAGCGCAAUUAUUGAAAACUUCAGGAUGAUCUGAAGGAGUUAAAGCGACAGAAGGAGCAAACUGUCGUGAACCAGGACGAGACGGUAUCAGCGACGGCGCAGACAGCAGAGUCGGAGAUGAUCGAUUCUGAUGUGCUGUAUGCGGUGACCGGAGGUGCGAAAAUUUCGGACGAUGUGUGGGUACUCGAUUCGGCGUGUUCUUUUCACGUAUGCCUAGAGAAUGAGUCUUUUGCCACCUAUAAGGCGACCAAAGGUGGAAAGGCGCUAAUGGGGAACAAGACAGUGUGCAAAGUAUUGGGAGUCAGCAUGGUGAAAAUCCGAAUGCACGAUGGGGUCGUGAGGAUGCUGACAGGUGUGCGGCACGUUCCUGAAUUGAAACGGAAUUUGAUCUCGUUAGGCGCAUUGGACUCGAAGGGUUGCGAUAUUUUAGCUUCAGGUGGAGCUAUGAGGGUCCGAAAACGAGAUCGGGUCGUAUGCGAGGCGAACAAGCGUGGGAACUUAUACGUUCUGAACGGGAGCACAGCCAGAACGAGAGCGAAGACGGUUUGGGUUCCAAAAGUUCGCGGAUAUGCAAUUGCUCGAGACGGAGCGACGGAUGCGGCGACAUCUCGAGCGAAGGAGACAAGCUCAAAGUGGAGCUUGCAUGGUGAGCUCGACGUAGCGGUUGAAAAUUACAAAUCAAACCAAGGUGGAGAAUGUUAGGAUUUGGUUAGAUUUAUAGUUAAAUCCUAUUUGGAUAAGAAUUAAUAUUUAAAUCUGUUUGAGAUAAAUUAAGAUUUAAAUAUUAAUUAGAGGAUAAACCUAACUAGAUUAGUAUUAAUAUUUAAAUCUAUUAGAGAUUGAUUAAGAUAGAUUUAAAUAUUAAUUAAAGUAUGAAUCCUAAAUAUAUUAGGAUUGGGUACAUUCUUGAUAGAGCAUUAUAUAUAAUGCAGUAGAGUCUCUUUUUGGGGUGAGUACAGUUGAGGGCCUUGCAGGUGCCGUACCAGAGAGAGAAAAAGAGAGAGAGAGUUAUUGAGUGCACCUAGUGCACAGGUGCGCGUGGAUGAUUGUCUUCUUUAUGGGUUUAUAGAAGACGAGAGAAGGGUAGAAGAGAUUCAGAAAGAGGGCUCGGAUUGUAGCUACUCUGUGCAGAAGAGGAGUCAGAUGUAAUCUUCUCUUAUUUAAUUGAAUCUUAUUUUACCCGCAUAUUUUUCUCUUUUAUGAUUGUAUCAGCUUUUGCUGAGAAAACGGGUUUAUGGUAAAAAUCCGAUUUGAUGCUUCCGUUG
rnacentral:lncRNA from 1 species